rnacentral:rRNA from 1 species
CGCUGGCGGCGUGCCUAAUACAUGCCCGUCGAGCGGACAGAUGGGAGCUUGCUCCCUGAUGUUAGCGGCGGACGGGUGAGUAACACGUGGGUAACCUGCCUGUAAGACUGGGAUAACUCCGGGAAACCGGGGCUAAUACUGGAUGGUUGUUUGAACCGCAUGGUUCAAACAUAAAAGGUGGCUUCGGCUACCACUUACAGAUGGACCCGCGGCGCAUUAGCUAGUUGGUGAGGUAACGGCUCACCAAGGCGACGAUGCGUAGCCGACCUGAGAGGGUGAUCGGCCACACUGGGACUGAGACACGGCCCAGACUCCUACGGGAGGCAGCAGUAGGGAAUCUUCCGCAAUGGACGAAAGUCUGACGGAGCAACGCCGCGUGAGUGAUGAAGGUUUUCGGAUCGUAAAGCUCUGUUGUUAGGGAAGAACAAGUACCGUUCGAAUAGGGCGGUACCUUGACGGUACCUAACCAGAAAGCCACGGCUAACUACGUGCCAGCAGCCGCGGUAAUACGUAGGUGGCAAGCGUUGUCCGGAAUUAUUGGGCGUAAAGGGCUCGCAGGCGGUUUCUUAAGUCUGAUGUGA